rnacentral:rRNA from 1 species
GACGAACGCUGGCGGCGUGCCUAAUGCAUGCAAGUAGAACGCACAGUUUAUACCGUAGCUUGCUACACCAUAGACUGUGAGUUGCGAACGGGUGAGUAACGCGUAGGUAACCUGCCUGGUAGCGGGGGAUAACUAUUGGAAACGAUAGCUAAUACCGCAUAAUAUUAAUUAUUGCAUGAUAAUUGAUUGAAAGAUGCAACUGCAUCACUACCAGAUGGACCUGCGUUGUAUUAGCUAGUAGGUGAGGUAACGGCUCACCUAGGCGACGAUACAUAGCCGACCUGAGAGGGUGAUCGGCCACACUGGGACUGAGACACGGCCCAGACUCCUACGGGAGGCAGCAGGAGGGAAUCUUCGGCAAUGGACGAAAGUCUGACCGAGCAACGCCGCGGGAGGGAAGAAGGUUUUCGGAUCGUAAAGCUCUGUUGUAAGAGAAGAACGGGUGUGAGAGUGGAAAGUUCACACUGUGACGGUAUCUUACCAGAAAGGGACGGCUAACUACGUG